rnacentral:rRNA from 1 species
UACGGGAGGCAGCAGUAGGGAAUUUUCGGCAAUGGACGAAAGUCUGACCGAGCAACGCCGCGUGAGCGAUGAAGGCCUUCGGGUCGUAAAGCUCUGUUGUCAGAGAAGAACAAGUACCGGAGUAACUGCCGGUACCUUGACGGUACCUGACCAAAAAGCCACGGCUAACUACGUGCCAGCAGCCGCGGUAAUACGUAGGUGGCAAGCGUUAUCCGGAAUUAUUGGGCGUAAAGCGCGCGCAGGCGGUUCCUUAAGUCUGAUGUGAAAGCCCACGGCUCAACCGUGGAGGGUCAUUGGAAACUGGGGAACUUGAGUGCAGGAGAGAAAAGUGGAAUUCCACGUGUAGCGGUGAAAUGCGUAGAGAUGUGGAGGAACACCAGUGGCGAAGGCGGCUUUUUGGCCUGUAACUGACGCUGAGGCGCGAAAGCGUGGGGAGCAAACAGGAUUAGAUACCCUGGUAGUCCACGCCGUAAACGAUGAGUGCUAGGUGUUGGGGGGUUCCACCCUCAGUGCCGAAGCUAACAC